rnacentral:rRNA from 1 species
GAUGAACGCUGGCGGCGUGCUUAACACAUGCAAGUCGAACGGAAAGGCCCAAGCUUGCUUGGGUACUCGAGUGGCGAACGGGUGAGUAGCACGUGGGUGAUCUGCCCUGCACUUCGGGAUAAGCCUGGGAAACUGGGUCUAAUACCGGAUAGGACGAUGGUUUGGAUGCCAUUGUGGAAAGUUUUUUCGGUGUGGGAUGAGCUCGCGGCCUAUCAGCUUGUUGGUGGGGUAAUGGCCUACCAAGGCGUCGACGGGUAGCCGGCCUGAGAGGGUGUACGGCCACAUUGGGACUGAGAUACGGCCCAGACUCCUACGGGAGGCAGCAGUGGGGAAUAUUGCACAAUGGGCGCAAGCCUGAUGCAGCGACGCCGCGUGGGGGAUGACGGCCUUCGGGUUGUAAACUCCUUUCGCUAGGGACGAAGCGUUUUGUGACGGUACCUGGAGAAGAAGCACCGGCUAACUACGUG